rnacentral:rRNA from 1 species
AUUGAACGCUGGCGGCAUGCCUUACACAUGCAAGUCGAACGGUAACAGGUCUUCGGAUGCUGACGAGUGGCGAACGGGUGAGUAAUACAUCGGAACGUGCCUAGUAGUGGGGGAUAACUACUCGAAAGAGUGGCUAAUACCGCAUGAGAUCUACGGAUGAAAGCAGGGGAUCGCAAGACCUCGCGCGAUUGGAGCGGCCGAUGUCAGAUUAGGUAGUUGGUGGGGUAAAGGCCUACCAAGCCGACGAUCUGUAGCUGGUCUGAGAGGACGACCAGCCAGACAGGGACUGAGACACGGCCCAGACUCCUACGGGAGGCAGCAGUGGGGAAUUUUGGACAAUGGGCGCAAGCCUGAUCCAGCCAUUCCGCGUGCAGGAUGAAGGCCUUCGGGUUGUAAACUGCUUUUGUACGGAGCGAAAAGGCUCUCUCUAAUACAGGGGGCUCAUGACGGUACCGUAAGAAUAAGCACCGGCUAACUACGUGCCAGCCGCCGCAGUAA